AUCCUGCCGCCCGUUUUACCCGCGGGAAAGCCGAGGCCCGGUGCUGUAUUCUGCCGCCCAUUUUACCCGCGGGGAAGCUGAGGCCCAGUGCUGUUUAAUAUCUUACUCAUGUUCACUUGAUGAGAAAGUGACAGAUCUGAGACAAACCCAGUUCUAGAGGUUAUGACACCAGCCAUGGAAGAGCAGAGAGGCCAAUGAGGUGGGGAGGUUGGAAACAAAAGGCCUUCUCCACCCCAGCUUGACCAACCCAAAAGCUGGAAGGCAAGGAAGACCUAGAAAGGGACCAGCUUGACGAAGCUUCUGCUUUUGUGACUGUCUCCUAAUGUUUGAGAUUCCAAAUACGAUUUCUGUGGAGAAAACAAAAAAGGACUCUGUUUUUAAUUCAAAAGGGAGAAGUGAAAUUCUACCUCACUUUUUUAAAAGAAGAGCCUGGAAUUGGCCUAUCCGUCUUUUUCCCCGUUGGAUCACAGAGCAGAAAGGAAGAUGCUCCCAGGCUCUCCCGCAGUUUAAAGACUUAACUCAGCGGCUUUCAGGGCCUGUGGUUGAGGGACUCCGAAAGAACUGUUGCUGGUGGACCGGUUCAGGGUCUUGACUUCGCCACACAAAAGAACUUGAGAGCACGUCCAAAGUAAAGCUAAGACCUCUAGUACAGUGUUCAAUGGAACUGGUGAGAAAAGACGUCCUUGCUGUGUUCCUGAUAUGAAGAGGAAAGCAGUCCUUCUCCAUUAAAUGCUGACAACAUGAGCCUCCCGUGGUCGGAACGGGCUUGUGAAGGCGGUGCUGGGGUGCACCAGGGCAGCAGCUACAGGACAACUUCUCCAAGGACAUCCACAUCAGGAGGGGUUUUCUAACUAUUAAACCUGCAGAAGAAGGAGUCAGGAGCUGCUCAUCUUUGGAAGUGCCUAGCAGUGGCUGGAGGACCUGGGAUGCCCUGAGGGACAGUCAGCCAGGGUCAAGCCUGAGACACCUGAAGCCCUGGACUUGGAAUCUGAAGCUGUCAUCAGCCAGUACACCUAUGAACCUGUGGAAGACCUGAAGUACCUGUUUAAAAGACAGCCAAAAGAUAAGUAAAUACUUCCCAAAUUU
ensembl:lncRNA MIR646HG MIR646 host gene